UGAAGAAUUUGUCCAACGGCGGGGGAUAGCCGGCCCAACGGCCGGGUAAUACCGCGUACGACCCUCGGGGGGCAUCCCCUGAAGGUGAAAGCCGCAAGGCGCCGAUGGAGAACUUCGCGGCCUAUCAGCUAGUUGGUGAGGUAACGGCUCACCAAGGCGACGACGGGUAGCCGGCCUGAGAGGGUGACCGGCCACACUGGGACUGAGACACGGCCCAGACUCCUACGGGAGGCAG
rnacentral:rRNA from 1 species